UGCUGGCUCAUUAAAGGUGGAGAACCACUGCUUUACAGCUUAGAACACUCACUUACUAGCUAUGACGAAAUGUCUAAUUGUUUAUUUCCUCAGGCUGUAAGAAUUUGGCCCGGAGUCAAGCAGGUCUUGCAGCAUAGCAGGAAACGACACUGGAUUGACGGGACUGAGAGCCUCGUGUUUUCAUAGCGCCGAAACUCCACGAGUAGGCUGUUUGUUUGGGGCGUUGAAGAAAACACGUGGGAGAAAUAUACAUAUAUAUAGAGGAGUUCGAGGACAUGGAGCGGCGCUUUUAAACUGUCCGUUAUGGAGGUGGCAAACGAAGAGGCAGCCUGUAAAGUCUACGCAGUUUUAAUGGAGCCCGAGCCCGAGACCGUGAGCCGUUUGAGGACAAAGUACUACUCACUGCGGCGACAGGAAAACGGAACUAAGGAGGCAUCUAAAUUUGAAAUGCAGCAUCAAGAUUUUGAAUCGCAUAGCAGAGAAGAAAUUACCCCGACACAAAGAGACGCAUCUUUCAUUCGCCUGACAGGUAAGAAGUAAUACACUGAGUGCAUUAAGAUGUAAUGCAAAAGUAGAAAUGAAUACAAA
rnacentral:lncRNA from 1 species